GUGCCAGCCGCCGCGGUAAUUCCAGCUCCAAUAGCAUAUAUUAAAGUUGUUGCGGUUAAAACGCCCGUAGUUGGAUCAGCGGAUUUGGAGAACGGUCUGCCGAUGGGCUGUACUGUUCUCCUGUCCUAUUUUCUCUAGUUCGCUCUAGGUGCUCUUCACUGAGUGUCUAGAGUGGCUGGAACUUUUACUUUGAAAAAAUUAGAGUGCUCAAAGCAGGCGUCUCAGCCUGAAUAGUGGUGCAUGGAAUAAUGGAAUAGGACCUCAGUUCUAUUUUGUUGGUUUUCGGAGCAUGAGGUAAUGAUUAAGAGGGACAGACGGGGGCAUUCGUAUUGCGACGUUAGAGGUGAGAUUCUUGGAUCGUCGCAAGACGAACUACUGCGAAAGCAUUUGCCAAGAAUGUUUCCAUUAAUCAAGGACGAUAGUUAGAGGUUCGAAGGCGAUCAGAUACCGCCCUAGUUCUAACCGUAAACGAUGUCAACCAGCGAUCCGCAGGAGUUAUUCAUGACUCUGCGGGCAGCUUCCGGGAAACCAAAGUUUUUGGAUUCCGGGGGGAGUAUGGUUGCAAAGCUGAAACUCAAAGGAAUUGACGG
rnacentral:rRNA from 1 species